rnacentral:rRNA from 1 species
UGAGGAAUAUUGGUCAAUGGACGAGAGUCUGAACCAGCCAAGUAGCGUGCAGGAUGACGGCCCUAUGGGUUGUAAACUGCUUUUGUUUGGGAAUAAUCGACAUUACGUGUAAUGUUUUGCAUGUACCAUUCGAAUAAGGACCGGCUAAUUCCGUGCCAGCAGCCGCGGUAAUACGGAAGGUCCCGGCGUUAUCCGGAUUUAUUGGGUUUAAAGGGAGUGUAGGCGGUUGGUUAAGCGUGUUGUGAAAUGUAGAUGCUCAACAUCUGACUUGCAGCGCGAACUGGCUGACUUGAGUACACACAACGUAGGCGGAAUUCAUGGUGUAGCGGUGAAAUGCUUAGAUAUCAUGAAGAACUCCGAUUGCGAAGGCAGCUUACGGGAGCGCAACUGACGCUGAAGCUCGAAGGUGCGGGUAUCGAACAGG